rnacentral:rRNA from 1 species
UACGUAGGUGGCAAGCGUUGUCCGGAUUUACUGGGCGUAAAGAGCGCGCAGGCGGUCGUUCAAGUCGCGUGUGAAAGCCCCCCGGCUCAACUGGGGAGGGUCACGCGAUACUGAUCGACUCGAAGGCAGGAGAGGGAAGUGGAAUUCCCGGUGUAGUGGUGAAAUGCGUAGAUAUCGGGAGGAACACCAGUGGCGAAGGCGGCGACCUGGGUAGAUACUGACGCUGAGGUGCGAAAGCGUGGGGAGCAAACAGG